ACUGUGUGUUGUUGGGUAGGGGAGCGUUCUGUAAGCCUGCGAAGGUGGCCUGUGAGGGUUGCUGGAGGUAUCAGAAGUGCGAAUGCUGACAUAAGUAACGAUAAAGCGGGUGAAAAGCCCGCUCGCCGGAAGACCAAGGGUUCCUGUCCAACGUUAAUCGGGGCAGGGUGAGUCGACCCCUAAGGCGAGGCCGAAAGGCGUAGUCGAUGGGAAACGGGUUAAUAUUCCCGUACUUGGUGUUACUGCGAAGGGGGGACGGAGAAGGCUAUGUUGGCCGGGCGACGGUUGUCCCGGUUUAAGCGUGUAGGCUGGUUUUCCAGGCAAAUCCGGAAAAUCAAGGCUGAGGCGUGACGACGAGGCACUACGGUGCUGAAGCAACAAAUGCCCUGCUUCCAGGAAAAGCCUCUAAGCAUCAGGUAACAUCAAAUCGUACCCCAAACCGACACAGGUGGUCAGGUAGAGAAUACCAAGGCGCUUGAGAGAACUCGGGUGAAGGAACUAGGCAAAAUGGUGCCGUAACUUCGGGAGAAGGCACGCUGACAUGUAGGUGAAGUGAUUUACUCAUGAAGCUGAAGUCAGUCGAAGAUACCAGCUGGCUGCAACUGUUUAUUAAAAACACAGCACUGUGCAAACACGAAAGUGGACGUAUACGGUGUGACGCCUGCCCGGUGCCGGAAGGUUAAUUGAUGGGGUCAGCGCAAGCGAAGCUCCUGAUCGAAGCCCCGGUAAACGGCGGCCGUAACUAUAACGGUCCUAAGGUAGCGAAAUUCCUUGUCGGGUAAGUUCCGACCUGCACGAAUGGCGUAAUGAUGGCCAGGCUGUCUCCACCCGAGACUCAGUGAAAUUGAACUCGCUGUGAAGAUGCAGUGUACCCGCGGCAAGACGGAAAGACCCCGUGAACCUUUACUAUAGCUUGACACUGAACAUUGAGCCUUGAUGUGUAGGAUAGGUGGGAGGCUUUGAAGUGUGGACGCCAGUCUGCAUGGAGCCAACCUUGAAAUACCACCCUUUAAUGUUUGAUGUUCUAACGUGGACCCGUUACCCGGGUUGCGGACAGUGUCUGGUGGGUAGUUUGACUGGGGCGGUCUCCUCCUAAAGAGUAACGGAGGAGCACGAAGGUUGGCUAAUCCUGGUCGGACAUCAGGAGGUUAGUGCAAUGGCAUAAGCCAGCUUGACUGCGAGCGUGACGGCGCGAGCAGGUGCGAAAGCAGGUCAUAGUGAUCCGGUGGUUCUGAAUGGAAGGGCCAUCGCUCAACGGAUAAAAGGUACUCCGGGGAUAACAGGCUGAUACCGCCCAAGAGUUCAUAUCGACGGCGGUGUUUGGCACCUCGAUGUCGGCUCAUCACAUCCUGGGGCUGAAGUAGGUCCCAAGGGUAUGGCUGUUCGCCAUUUAAAGUGGUACGCGAGCUGGGUUUAGAACGUCGUGAGACAGUUCGGUCCCUAUCUGCCGUGGGCGCUGGAGAACUGAGGGGGGCUGCUCCUAGUACGAGAGGACCGGAGUGGACGCAUCACUGGUGUUCGGGUUGUCAUGCCAAUGGCACUGCCCGGUAGCUAAAUGCGGAAGAGAUAAGUGCUGAAAGCAUCUAAGCACGAAACUUGCCCCGAG
rnacentral:rRNA from 1 species